CAGAACAGUGCAGACGUUUGUCGCGUUUCGCUGUCGCCGCGAAAUAAAGUUCGAUAUUUAAAAAGUUUCGCUCGCGAUGUCAGGCAUAUUGGAUUUUUCGUGAAACUUUCGUGUGUUGACGUUGAUUAGUUGCCUUUUUGUUGGUUUGACUAUGAUACUGUGGAAAAUGUGAUUCUGGCCACCGGAUUUUCAGAAUCAUCCGCUAUGGUCGGGAAGGUGUUGAUAUUCUUCGCAUCUGUCACAGCUUUUAAUAUAGAUGCGUUGCUUGUCCCCAACACACAUGACUUGGCCAAUGUUGACACACCGGCUACAAAGUACCACAUCAACACGUA